UGCAGUCGAACGGCAGCACAGUAAGAGCUUGCUCUUAUGGGUGGCGAGUGGCGGACGGGUGAGGAAUACAUCGGAAUCUACCUUUUCGUGGGGGAUAACGUAGGGAAACUUACGCUAAUACCGCAUACGACCUUCGGGUGAAAGCAGGGGACCUUCGGGCCUUGCGCGGAUAGAUGAGCCGAUGUCGGAUUAGCUAGUUGGCGGGGUAAAGGCCCACCAAGGCGACGAUCCGUAGCUGGUCUGAGAGGAUGAUCAGCCACACUGGAACUGAGACACGGUCCAGACUCCUACGGGAGGCAGCAGUGGGGAAUAUUGGACAAUGGGCGCAAGCCUGAUCCAGCCAUACCGCGUGGGUGAAGAAGGCCUUCGGGUUGUAAAGCCCUUUUGUUGGGAAAGAAAAGCAGUCGGCUAAUACCCGGUUGUUCUGACGGUACCCAAAGAAUAAGCACCGGCUAACUUCGUGCCAGCAGCCGCGGUAAUACGAAGGGUGCAAGCGUUACUCGGAAUUACUGGGCGUAAAGCGUGCGUAGGUGGUUGUUUAAGUCUGUUGUGAAAGCCCUGGGCUCAACCUGGGAAUUGCAGUGGAUACUGGGCGACUAGAGUGUGGUAGAGGGUAGUGGAAUUCCCGGUGUA
rnacentral:rRNA from 1 species